CUGUGACUAAUGACAUGAAAAAUC
rnacentral:piRNA from 1 species